GGCAUAAUGUAUAUUACACCAAAAAUUAAAUUGACUCUAUUCUGUUUUGUUCAUAUCUCUUUUUCCUUUUUUGGAGAGACAAGACACAAUUAAUUUUUUUGGUUAUCAACAUUACAUCACAAAAUUCUCUGGAUAGAGCUUGUAUUUAACAUGAAAUCUUUUUUAAGGCCCCAAUGUAGGCAAAACCUGAGGCACGGGCACAUACUGGGCAUGCUAAGACCUGUUACUAAACUAAAAAAAGCACCUGACACAGAAUCAGUUUCGCUGUCUGGCAGACAACAGAAAACCCCACUGACCUACAUGUUGCGCGCACACACAUUCAACAAAAUCCACAGUCACACAUGCCCAUUUGGCCUGUCAGUCUCUCUCUCACUAAUAAAGAAGCUUCAAGCUGUGUGUGUGUAUAGUCCUGCAGUUGCUGCUGUCAUUCAGGCAGAAAAGUGUGUGUGUAUGUGAGAAAAGGGGGUGAGGAAGGGAGGGCAGGCAUCAUGCUCCAUAAAGCCGCUGUGAUAGUUUGAGCAUACUAUUGCUUCCGACACACACUUCCAGCCGGACAGACAUUCACAUACUCCAGUCCCGCCGUAUCCCACUUGCUGCUGUGGUUUUGGUAUUGAGAGAGAGGACAGCAUGCUAGCUGCCGAGGCCUCCAGGGAAAACGUGAGGACUAAUGGGGAUUGUUUCAUUUUACCUUGUCCUUCACUUCUGGCUCGCCACUGUCGGAGGGACGUGUUCUCAUUUUAACGCUCUCUCCUGUGACGAGUGUCUGCAGCUGGGGCCACGGUGCGCCUGGUGCACACUACAGAAUUUCACCGACUUUUUCUCAAUCAAUGAGAGAUGCGACACACCAGAGGCUCUUCUUCAGAAAGGAUGCUCCGGCAAAUUUGUGGAGUUCCCCGUCACGAAUGUCAAAGUGCUGAAGGAUCAAGGCUUAGGAAAGAGUGCCAACCACACUAAUGUUUCAUACGUCGCACCGCAGAAGAUGCGCCUCCAGCUAAGGCCAGGAAGUCAGCUGACCUUUCAAAUUCAAGUGCAGGAACCGGAGGACCAUCCGGUGGACAUUUAUUACCUGAUGGACCUGUCAGCAUCUAUGAUUGAUGAUCUGAAAAUGAUCAAAGACUUGGGUUCGAUGCUCUCCAAAGAGAUGGCUACGCUUACCAGCAAAUUCAGAUUAGGAUUCGGUUCCUUUGUGGAGAAACCAGUUCUGCCUUUCAUCAAAAUAACACACGAAGAGUUGGCCAAUCCCUGCAGGAGUGUUGAUUAUGAAUGUCUCCCAACAUUUGGAUACAGACAUCUUCUGUCAUUAACAAGCAGUAUUGACAAGUUUAAUGAGAUCAUCUCAAAGCAGCAGGUAUCGGCGAACAUCGACGUGCCAGAGGGCGGUUUUGACGCCAUCAUGCAGGCUGCGGUGUGCGGGGACAGGAUUGGCUGGCAGAACAAUUCCAUGAAGCUGCUGGUGUUUGUGAGCGAUGCAGAUUCUCAUUUUGGGAUGGACAGCAAAAUGUCCGGCAUCGUUGUCCCCAAUGACGGAGAGUGUUACCUGGACGACAACAAUGAGUAUUCAAUGACUGCCCAUCUGGAGUAUCCAACAUUAGGGCAGCUUGUCGAAAAACUGGUUGAAAACAAUAUCCUGCUCAUAUUCGCUGUGACCGACAAUCAGAGACAGAACUACGAGAAUUAUGCAAGUCUGAUUCCUGGUGCUACUGUGGGGGUGUUGGCAUCCGAUUCAAGGAACAUUCUGGAGCUCAUCAUGACCUCAUAUAAGGAACUGAGGUCUGAGAUUGAUCUGGAGGUUCUGGGCAACACUGAGGGUCUGCAGAUUUCCUUCACAGCACUCUGUCAGGAUGGGACCAUCAUCCCUGGAUGUAAAAACUGCUCCAAUGUCAAAGCUGGUGAUGUGGUAUCUUUUAAUGUUACGGUCGAGUUAAAAGGCUGUCUUGCUGGUCCACGACGGUUUUCCUUGCGCCCUGUGGGUUUCCAAGAUGCCCUGGAGAUCGAACUGGAGUCUCAGUGUGUGUGUGACUGUCAUCAAACCCCUGAAGCGAGCAGUGCCUUCUGCAGCCGAGGGCGUGGGGCGCUGGAGUGCGGCACCUGUGUGUGUGAUCCAGGCUUUGUGGGGCCCAAGUGUGAGUGCACAGAGGGUCAAGAACAAAUCAGUGACUGCAGGGCACAUGAAGGUGCGGAGAUGUGCAGCGGACUGGGCGAGUGUUUCUGCGGACAGUGUGUGUGCCACCCGUCCAGUUUCGGUCGUGUGUAUGGGCCGUACUGCGAGUGCGACAACUUUUCCUGCCUCAGGUUCAGAGGAGAGCUUUGCGGAGGUCAGUACCCAGUGUAA
ensembl:lncRNA